UUCUUGGUGGUCCAACGGCUAAGACACGCGCCUGUCAUUUCGGUAAUUCCCGAACGGGAACUUCCGACGGACGCGCGUAACCCGGGUUCGACUCCCGGCCAGGAAG
rfam:Exidia glandulosa HHB12029 unplaced genomic scaffold EXIGLscaffold_967, whole genome shotgun sequence.